rnacentral:rRNA from 1 species
AUUGAACGCUGGCGGCAGGCCUAACACAUGCAAGUCGAACGAGUGGCGGACGGGUGAGUAAUGUCUGGGAACCUGCUCGAUGGAGGGGGAUAACUACUGGAAACGGUAGUUAAUACCGCAUACCAUCGGAUGUGCCCAGGUGUGAUUAGCUAGUAGGUGGGGUAACGGCUAACCUAGGCAACGAUCCAUAGCUGGUCUGCGAGGAUGACCGGCCACACUGGAACUGAGACACGGUCCAGACUCCUACGGGAGGCAGCAGUAGGGAAUCUUGCACAAUGGGCGCAAGCCUGAUGCAGCCAUGCCGCGUGUAUGAAGAAGGUCUUCGGGUUGUAAAGUACUGUCAGCGAGGAGGCGUUACUCGCUGAGAAAGCACCGGCUAACUCCGUGCCAGCAGCCGCGGUAAUUC